rnacentral:tRNA from 1 species
GCCCUCAUAGCUCAACGGAUAGAGUACCGGUCUUCGGAACCGAGGAUGGGGGUUCGAUUCACUCUGAGGGCACAA